AUAUGAUGGGUUUAUUAUUUGUGCCGAAUAACCUAUGAAAAUGUAACUAUUUUAGUCAUAUAAUUUGGUAUUUUUGAUGGGUUUGUUGGUCUAUGUGAUUAAAUAGAUGCAGGUAUUAGUUGACUCUAUUUAUUUGCCUUUUUGGGAUAAAAUCACUAAGUCAAAGGAUGAGGAGCUGCUGGAUUCUUUUUGGAAGAUUUAUUCAAAGGUUUUGAAGAAUAGAGAGNNNN
rnacentral:lncRNA from 1 species